UUACCUUUCUCGGCCUUUUGGCUAAGAUCAAGUGUAGUAUCUGUUCUUAUCAGUGUGAAAACUGGUAACCAAGGCAAUGCCUUGGUAAAUUUUCACAUGUAUUUUUACGCUCCGGGCUGGUUCGCGUUGCUUGCAACCGACCCCCAUAGAUGUUCGCGGUCUUGCACCACCGCCGCGCAACGUCGACCCCCA
rnacentral:snRNA from 1 species